CUCUAUUUAUAAUCUGACACAAUUUCGUAUCCAAUCAUUUAUUAGCAAUUUUAUUAUUGAUCUUUGAAGAUCAUCCAAUCACAUUUACCGUUAGAAAGUGGCUACACGUUACCAGCCAUCGUUACAAAGUAGCCAUGUGUUUUGUGGGGAUACCUUGGGAAUGUUGUGUAUUCAAAAGUUACGGUAAAAAUCAAUGGUUUCUUCAUUAAAUUUCCAUGCAAUUCACAAGUCGUAACA
rnacentral:lncRNA from 1 species